rnacentral:rRNA from 1 species
GAUAAACGCUAGCGGCAGGCCUAACACAUGCAAGUCGAGGGGCAGCAUAGAGGAGUAAUCUUCUGAUGGCGACCGGCGGACGGGUGCGUAACGCGUAUGCAACCUGCCUCAAACAUAGGGAUAAUCUGGAGAAAUCCGGUCUAAUACCUUAUAAUAUCUCGGGAGGCAUCUUCUGAGGUUGAAAGCUCCGGCGGUUUGAGAUGGGCAUGCGUUGUAUUAGUUAGUUGGUGGGGUAACGGCUCACCAAGACUACGAUACAUAGGGGGACUGAGAGGUUAACCCCCCACACUGGUACUGAGACACGGACCAGACUCCUACGGGAGGCAGCAGUGAGGAAUAUUGGUCAAUGGGGGCAACCCUGAACCAGCCAUGCCGCGUGCAGGAUGACGGCGCUAUGCGUUGUAAACUGCUUUUAUACCAGGGUAAACCUAUCUACGUGUAGAUAGCUGAAAGUAUGGUAUGAAUAAGGAUCGGCUAACUCCGUGCCAGCAGCCGCGGUAAUACGGAGGAUCCGAGCGUUAUCCGGAUUUAUUGGGUUUAAAGGGUGCGUAGGCGGUUCGGUAAGUUAGAGGUGAAAGCCCGUUGCUCAACAACGGAACUGCCUCUGAUACUGUCGGGCUAGAGGAUGGUUGCCGUAGGCGGAAUGUGUGGUGUAGCGGUGAAAUGCUUAGAGAUCACACAGAACACCGAUUGCGAAGGCAGCUUACGAAGCCAUAUCUGACGCUGAUGCACGAAAGCGUGGGGAGCAAACAGGAUUAGAUACCCUGGUAGUCCACGCCGUAAACGAUGAUAGCUCGUUGCCGGAGAUAUACAUUCGGUGACUUAGCGAAAGCGUUAAGCUAUCCACCUGGGGAGUACGUUCGCAAGAAUGAAACUCAAAGGAAUUGACGG